GUCUCUGUGGUGGAACUGGUCAACGCAUUUGGCUGUUAACCAAUAGAUUGGUGGUUUGAGGCCCCCCAGGGACG